rnacentral:rRNA from 1 species
GACGAACGCUGGCGGCGUGCUUAACACAUGCAAGUCGAACGGAAAGGCCCUGCUUUUGUGGGGUUCUCGAGGGGCGAACGCGUGAGUAACACGUGAGUAACCUGCCCUUGUCUUUGGGAUAACUUCAGGAAACUGGGGCUAAUACCGGAUAGGAGACCCUGCUGCAUGGUGGGGGUUGGAAAGUUUCGGCGGUUGGGGUUGGACUCGCGGCUUAUCAGCUUGUUGGUUGGGUAGGGGCUUACCAAGUCUUUGACGGGUAGGCGGCCUGGGAGGGGGGCCGGCCACCUUGCGACUACGAUACGGACCAGACGGAUACGGGAGGCAACAGGGGGGAAUAUGGCACAAUGGGCGGAAGCGUGAUGCAGCGACGCCGCGUGCGGAAUGACGGCCUUCGGGUUGUAAACCGCUUUCGCCUGUGACGAAGCGUGAGUGACGGUAAUGGAUAAAGAAGCACCGGCUAACUACGUG